GUCCAGACGGCGUCGCCAGCUGCCCAGGCAGUUCCUAUCCCUUUCGGAGCUCCAGCCUGCCCCUCCUGACGCUCUCAGAGUCUGGCCUUCUGCUGGGCCCCGGGUCUCUCACUGGCAGAAUGGAGUUCUCGGAGCUGAUCCAUACGGGCUGAGCCCAAGCAGAGUUUCUACGGGGCCCGGAGGCGCCCCCGCUUCGCGGCACGGUGUGAGUCACCGUCCACCACCUGCUCCUGUCGCCAGGGCCCGCGUCCUCUCCGGACCUGUGGCUGCUGCUGUUGCGUAGCGUCGACUCCUUCGAGAAGCAGGUCCCAAACCACUUUGGCCACAACACCCCCAGACUGGUCCGAAGCCUCGUGAGUUCGCCCUGGUCGUUGCACUCCAGCCUGUCGCUGUGCAGACCUGGCUUAGAGGACCCCUAAGGCUGAGGGGUCACUUCCAGAACUGAGUCCGGUCCGCAGGUUCUGCUACGCUCCAGCCAGCCCCUAACUGGUCCCCAGAAGCGGCGCUGCUACAGGGACCAGGAGCUGCUGCGAACUGCGCUGGCGGGGGCUCGUCCUUGGGCGCGGGGCUUCAUCAUGGACACGCUCUCGGCCCAGGCCGCGAAACAAGCCCGCGUGACUGGCGGAGGCACAGAGACCAAGGCCGCUUAACCUGGCUGGUUGCACUGGUCCCUGGAGAGCACUGAGCACAGGGGCUGCCACAGUGGCCGGCUCAGACAUGGCAGAGAUCAGCAGAGAAUGGGCAAUCAGGCUCCCCUGAGAUGAGCAGCAGCGCAGAGGAGGUGCCCCUCUCUUACUACACCAACUUCAGAGGGCGUCCCCUGCAGGAGAGCUUCAUGCGCCUGGUGGAGGCCUGUGGGGACUCGGAGCAAAGCAUGGACAACUGGCUGAGUCGGCUGGACGGCUGCCGCUGACUGUAACAUGUAAAGCAGGCACUGAGCACCACCUGCCUGGCAGUCCAGGGCAUGGAGAGGCACAGACAGCACCCUGCUUGUGACUUCACUGGCCCAACUCAUCCUGGACCCCUUGAGCAAGACCAUGGCUGGAUUCCAGGAACUGGUGGAGUGGAAGUGGAUCCAGGAAAAUGCCGUGUGAAGGGAGGACUCAGAUGCACUCCCUGUGGUCUGGGCUCAACCAGCCAAAAGAGCAACAAAGACUCCAGAACCCACUCUACCUCCUCAAUCCCUUGGCCAUCUGUGGAGCCCCAGAGCCUGCGGCUGUGGCAAGGCCUGUUUCUGCGCUGGACCUGCUCACCUGAGCCUGCAGAAGCUGCAUGGGGGAAGAGUGUGGCAAAUAGUGACAGGAAGGGAGAAGACAGAAGCCUCUCAGCCAACUGCUUCAGCCGAGCCCCUAUUCUAAGCACUGGCUCCUUGGAUAGCAGCUGAGAUGUUCCUGAAACCUCUGCAGGCCCCUUAGGACCUUUACACCUUGGAUGAGGGUGCCUGCAACCCAGGUUAGCCAAAAGUACUGAGGGUCUUAAGUUUGAAGUGUCCAAAGUAUAGGGAGGUCUCAAUAAUAAAAGUCUCCAUGAUCAGCA
rnacentral:lncRNA from 1 species